rnacentral:rRNA from 1 species
UACGUUGGAAACAAGAAAGGUGGCCUCUAUUUAUAAGCUACCGUGGGGGGAUGAGCUUGCGUACCAUUAGCUAGUUGGCAGGGUAAUGGCCUACCAAGGAGACGAUGGUACGCGGGUCUGAGAGGAUGAUCCGCCACACUGGAACUGAAACACGGACUAGACUCCUACGGGAGGUUUGGUGAUUCAAUAUUGCGCAAUGGGGGAAACCUGACGCAGCGACGCCGCGUGGAUGAUGAAGGCCCUUGGGUCGUAAAAUCCUGUCAGUUGGGAAGAAAUGCAUAUUGGCUAAUACCCAUUAUGUUUGACGGUACCAGCAAAGGAAGCACCGGCUAACUCCGUGCCAGCAGCCGCUGUAAUACGGAGGGUGCAAGCGUUGUUCGGAAUUACUGGGCGUAAAGCGCGCGUAGGUGGUCUAUUAAGUCAGAUGUGAAAGUCCCUGGCUCAACUGGGGAAGUGCAUAUGAAACUGGUAGACUUGAGUACUGGAGGGGGAAGUGGAAUUCCCGGUGUAGAGGUGAAAUUCGUAGAUAUCGGGAGGAAUACCGGUGGCGAAGGCGACUUCCUGGCCAGAUACUGACACUGAGGUGCGAAAGCGUGGGUAGCAAACAGGAUUAGAUACCCUGGUAGUCCACGCCGUAAACGAUGUCAACUAGGUGUUGAGAGGAAUAUCCUCUCAUUGCCGGAGCUAACGCAUUAAGUUGACCGCCUGGGGAGUACGGUCGCAAGAUUAAAACUCA